UGUAAGCGUAUACCAAAGUUGUUGCAGUUAAAACGCUCGUAGUCGGAAUUUGGCAGUUCCGGAUGUGUGCACGUCGUGUGCGCACUUCGCGGGGAUUGCUUUUGUGGUCUUGCGUAGGAUGAGGCACUUUUAUUAGUGAACGUCCUCACGCAACCACUUUUUACUGUGAGAAAAUCAGAGUGCUCAAAGCUGGCAUUUGCCGUGAAUGUAUUAGCAUGGAAUAAUAGAAUAGGACUUGGCUCUAUUUUGUUGGUUUGUUGGGACUGAGUAAUGAUUAAGAGGGACAGUUGGGGGCAUUUGUAUUUCGGUGCUAGAGGUGAAAUUCUUAGAUUACCGAAAGACAAACUGCUGCGAAAGCGUCUGCCAAGGAUGUUUUCAUUGA
rnacentral:rRNA from 1 species